CAGCGCCACGGUAAUACGUAGGUCCCGAGCGUUGUCCGGAUUUAUUGGGCGUAAAGCGAGCGCAGGCGGUUAGAUAAGUCUGAAGUUAAAGGCUGUGGCUUAACCAUAGUACGCUUUGGAAACUGUUUAACUUGAGUGCAAGAGGGGAGAGUGGAUUUCCAUGUGUAGCGGUGAAAUGCGUAGAUAUAUGGAGGAACACCGGUGGCGAAAGCGGCUCUCUGGCUUGUAACUGACGCUGAGGCUCGAAAGCGUGGGGAGCAAACAGGAUUAGAUACCCCAGUAGUCCCUGUCUCUUAUACAA
rnacentral:rRNA from 1 species